AUACGGAGGAUGCAAGCGUUAUCCGGAUUCAUUGGGUUUAAAGGGUACGCAGGCGGAAAAUUAAGUCAGUGGUGAAAUCCUGCAGCUUAACUGUAGAACUGUCAUUGAUACUGGUUUUCUUGAAUGCAGUUGAGGUAGGCGGAAUGUGUAAUGUAGCGGUGAAAUGCUUAGAUAUUACACAGAACACCGAUUGCGAAGGCAGCUUACUAAACUGUGAUUGACGCUGAGGUACGAAAGCGUGGGUAGCAAACAGGAUUAGAUACCCUGGUAGUCCACGCCGUAAACUAUGAUCACUCGUUGUUGGCAAUACACCGUCAGCGACUGAGCGAAAGCAUUAAGUGAUCCACCUGGGGAGUACGGCCGCAAGGUUGAA
rnacentral:rRNA from 1 species